AUGGAGGGAAAAGCAAAUGGUUACGCGCUGGAGACUGAAUUGAUUGAAAUGCUUAAUGGAGCGGUUGUUCCAGAAAUGUCUGGAAUCCACGAACAAUGCAUCUACAAAGUACUUCCAAGAAUUCGCCAAGUUAAUCCACAAGCUUAUACACCUCAAAUUAUUUCGAUUGGUCCUUUUCACAAUCCACAUGGUUCAACUAGUGACAACAUUCUGCACCAAAUGGAAGAACUCAAACUCAAAUAUCUAAAAAGGGAUUUUUAG
rnacentral:lncRNA from 1 species